rnacentral:lncRNA from 1 species
AUUGUAUUCUCUUGCUUAUGAGAACAUCAGUGGCCUUUGGCUGUUCUUUGAUCUUUAUUUAGGUAGUUGGUUCUUUGACAUAUUCCCUGCUUCCAUUCUUAAUUUUAAUAUGAAGAUGAUUCCAUAAAAGUUUGCUGAAAUUCAAUGAAGUCUUAAAAAAAAAGAGAAGGUUAUUGAUGAUUGAAAACCUUGGAUCCUAUACUGUAUCAAAAUCUUAACUAUAAACAAAAAUUUAGCUUGAUGGUGGUUUC